UACGAAGGGGGCUAGCGUUGCUCGGAAUCACUGGGCGUAAAGCGCACGUAGGCGGAUUGCUAAGUCAGGGGUGAAAUCCUGGAGCUCAACUCCAGAACUGCCUUUGAUACUGGCGAUCUCGAGUUCGGGAGAGGUGAGUGGAACUGCGAGUGUAGAGGUGAAAUUCGUAGAUAUUCGCAAGAACACCAGUGGCGAAGGCGGACUCACUGGCCCGGUACUGACGCUGAGGUGCGAAAGCGUGG
rnacentral:rRNA from 1 species